UUUUUCUUGAUCCUUUAUACUAUAAAUACAAAGAAAGAACUAAGAUUAUAUGAUUUAAUGCAUAAAAAAUCUGCAUCUAAUGAUAUCUUCACUUAAAAAUUUAAGAAACUAAGAAAAUUGACAGAAAAUUUUAAAUGAACACCUUUAUUAGAUAAUCUUUUCAGAAAAGAUCACGUCUCUUUUUUUAAUAGGGAAGAAUGGCUUAAAUAAAUAAUAUUAACAUUUUUAUUAUCUCAUAUCUAUUAUAAUAUCUCCAAAUAAUCGUGAAAUAUAUAUAUGUAGAGUUUAUUAUCAACUGUACAAACAUAGGAAGGGAAGAAAAUUCCCGUGGCGGAGAAUCAACAGCACGUAGCUUCAUCGUCUUUAACGCGUGUCUGGGGAGAAAUUCCCAUGGGAGAACAAGACGGGCGACCAUCGCGAAUAAACAUUUGUACAGCGUUGUACGUGCUAGGUGUAGAUUUUCGGAGGUGAGAGAGGGCCAAACGCGAAGCGAAUCCCGUCGUGCCUGCGGCCGCGAAUUGUCAGCACCGGACUGCGCACUCCAUGCAGAACUGAUAUGCGGCUGUAAGCGCGGACUUAGGAUCGAUGGUGGCGGCAUCAGUCUAAUCACCCGGAAGUGUUGCCGAUGCCCGCCGCUAAUCCGAUCGCAGAUGUUUCACUGCGGCCGAUUCUCCCUCUGUUUCUCCUCCCGCAUCUCGACAGGCUCGACGAACGUGUGCCUGUCCGCGCGCACGGUGUUUGUUUGCGGCCGCGUUAGCGGAUUCUAAUCGUGGUUACUCCAUUCGCGCCCUAAAUCUGCCACCGAGUACUUAAAUCGAGUGAAACGUACCCGUUGUACAGCGCAUUUAGGUUAAAGCACCUAUUUUCAAUUAGGCGCCCCGGGCCGCUUAGGCCGAUAUAUCUCGUCCGCUUCGGCGAGUUCCGAGUUGUGAAACUGGCACGGUAAACGGAAAUCUCUCGUUGAUUAAUAGCGCGGGCGAUUUUUCGCGAUUUAUCUUGUCGUCUCUUAAACGGCGUGUUUUAAUAAAACGCGGGAAUUCGGGCAAAUUUAAUGUUAAUCGCUUGAUUAAUUUGCAUUUUUCGGUGGUAAACCCAUGAUGAACGAUUCUUACGUUGAAGUUUUUGGCAAACUGUGAACGUGCAGGCUGAAAAUGCGAAACACAUUUUGCGUCUUUUACAAACGUGGAAAAUAAUUCCAUUUAAGCUUUUAUAUUCCUCUGCGUAACGAGCAAUUUUAUUAUAUUUACUUGCAAUACCAUCAACUAUUUCUUUUUCAUUCCAUUUUAUCAUUGUAAUGUAUUUUUUAUUCCACAAUUGGAAACUGUGUUGAUCUUCUUUUUUCAAAAUUCUAUCUUUUCAUUACUCUCUCUCCGUUUUAGUCCAUUUUCAAUCUAUAGAUUUAUUUACCGUGCGAUUUACCGUACUCAGACUGACAUGCAUGAAAACUGAGAUCGGCAUCCGUAAAGUUUCAAAUGCCGCUCGCAAGGGAAGUGGGAAAGGAUGAAGUAGGCAGGAUGAAAAGAGGGGGAAAAAAUGGUAGUAACAGCGAAGUCUACGCGCAGAAGUGGCAGAAGGACGAAGGAAAAGGAAAAUGCGGUGGAAAAAGGUUCGAAGCACGAGCAAACACGCAGCCGGAAAAUAUUUUUGAAGCGAAGAACGCGCGCGCGCGCGCGCUCGAGCAAGAGAGCCACUCUCUAAUUAGCGCUUGGUAUACGGGGUGGCUUUUUGUUUAAUUAACACGCUCGUAGUAAACUACCCUUAUGCCGCACGGUGCGAGAGGCCGCCUAGUUCUAUCCGACGCGGUGCUUUACAUCCUAUUUUUUUUCGCCCUCUCCUUCCACCUUCUCCCCCCUAUUCUCCUUUCGCUCGUGAUACACCCGAUAGGUAUUAGUUUGCUUAAAACACGCGCUCAAGGGUGUCGGGUUUAAAAGGAGCGAUGUUUCUGGGUCCAGGGUAGGUGUGUCUCAUGCCGACGGCUCUUUAUCUCCCGUUGCGCGUCACAUCUUUUUUCAUUUCCUUUUUCGCCCGGCCGGAUGGAAACACCGGGCUACCGGUGUCAUAUUUUGACAACCGGUGAGCUUUCAUCGGCGCGCACAUAUUUUGAAUACGACGGAUUCGUCGUCGAAUCGCGUGGCAUUUUAAUCUCUGUCGCGUUCCGAGGGAGCCUUCGAACGGAACCGUGUCGCACGGUCAUUUGAACUCUCCUGAAUUCUGCGAGAGAAAAGUAAAAUCUUGUUAAUAGAAAACUCCGGAGUGCCUUAUUGGCACUGCGCCCGUCACUGAUUGAUUGCUCCAUCCUCGCGGAGCCCUUAGACGUCGCCGUUUGAUUUGAUUAGAAUAAAGGGCGAAGUCGGCCCUCCGUUUUCGGUCUGUUAUACUCGAGCGACUCUAUUAUCUUACAACCGAAUUACAUCUUUUCUAGACGUGUCCGUGACUCACUCUCUUUCUCUCUCUCUCUCUCUCUCUCUCUCUCUCUCUCUCUCUCUCUCUCUCUCUCUUCGCAUAAAAAUAAGUCAAUGUUGAAAGUACAAAUCGCCGGAGGUUGAAAGAAUAAUAUUAUGACAAAAACAUAAUGGAGAUAUCUCACAUUCUUAGCUGUCGCUCUCCAGCCAUAUGGUAACAGUUGGCCACUGCAAUUCUCUUAGUAGAGCUCUGCUAAAAUUAAAUGUUUAAUAAAAUAUUAGGACAAUAAAAGAAUUUUACAGCGUUUUUUUUUAGCAGGUGUAUUAACGCGUUUUUCGUCCAAUCCCGAGAGAUCGCUCGCGGUAGGAUUAUUUUACAGCUUACGGCAUCGCAACUCCGAGUCUCGGAAAAGCGAGAUCGGGGUGAACCGCGUGUCGAACGCGGACCUAGCUCGGUUGUCGCAGCGUUGAGAUACGCGCGCGACAGCCACUUCCGUGCACGCUUUCGCGUUACAGUCUGGCAACGAAACGCGGUUCUCUUUCUCUAUUUCCAUCUCUCUCUCUCUCUCUCUCUCUGCCUCUCUCCCCGAGCUUAGUCUCCGGUCUGUUAGCCGGUGAACGUUAGCUGCAGGUGGCGCGUGUAUUUAUAGCCGCGUCGUGACUCCUCUUCCUCUUCGCCAACAACACGCCGGUCCUCGGCCGUGUUUUCGUGCAACUCUCCUCACUUCGCCUCUUUCUCUCUUCCCGGCCUCUCCUCUUCCUCUCCUCCUCGCCCUUCAUCUUCUUCUUCCCGCUAUCUGUCGGCUGCUGCACGGGAAAGUCUCGGCUAGGAGGCGUUAAGCCGGCUGGGUAUGAACGGCGACUUCCGUCGUGAGACUCGGACGAGCGCGGGAGCGCCCGUUGAAAAAUGAGUUUAGCUGACGGAAUUGUGCGGGAGUUUCGAAGCGGGAUUAUCUCGCGUCCCGUUCCGCCGGUCGCGCGAAACGGAAAUAAACGAUCGAACGGCGCGUACGUGCACCACGAGGACCCGGCGCUCGCUGAUCGGAAUCCGUCGAUCGCCGUUACGUGCCGCUCGUACCGUCCCGAUGACGGCAUGAAUUUUUAUGUGCGCCGGAAAAAUCGUUUUCCGAGUGUUCCUGCAAUCGGAAUAUCGAUUCCGGCAGUCGGGCAGAUUUUCCCCCGAAUGGUCUCUCGCAUAUCGGAAAGUGCAUUUUCAUGGGAACCCCUCACCCCCCCCCCCCUCCGGACCGGAGAAAUCUCGCGAAAUCUGACUGUUCCGCUUCCUCCUUGAUUGUGAAUCGUCUGUGCGAAGUAUCCGAACUUGCGAUCAGACUCAUCAGUGACUUCGCGGAUCUCGUCGUAUGAUAGAUUUGUGACGAGGAGGCGCUCGCUAUUGAUCGCGAUGGACCACUCGCGUUUAUCCUUCCGUUGGUGCUGAAUUCUUUGUACGGAAACGGGGUCACGAUCUCGCACUCUUGCAGAAAUAAUUGCGAUAAUCGUGGAACGUGCCGCGCAACCGGCGACUCCUAACGAUUCACGUAUUUACCCUCCCUCGUCCGCUAGGGGUUGGUCGCCCGGUCGCGCCCGGUCGGUCGCAACGAGGCGGGUCAACACUUUUACACCCGCCCAAGUCCGCCGCCAUCAGAUAACGUUUCGCGAGCAACGACGCGGCAGUCACUUUCAGCCGGUGCCGAAGCGACUCCGUACGCCUCCAUCGCACCUAAACGGUUAAAGUCUUGUCCAAACUCGGCGAAGCUCGUUUGCUCCGCGGCUGCCGUUAUCUCAUAGCUGCGAUCUCCUCUCAAUCUCCACGAGACCACCUCCUUCGCCGACCUGCUCGCUGCGACUGCCGCUUCUCCCCUUUUCGGCUCGCUAUCUCUCGCGGAGAAAGGUAAGAGAAACGGUUCGCGGUCUCUCGCCAGAUUAUUUCGAUAUCAACGGAGUCGCGGGGAUUUAAAGAUGCUGGGGAUUCUUCUCGCUUUUUUUUACAACAAACAAAAAGGAUGUGCAAUUUUAAGGCUAUUAAGAAUAAACGAUUAUGAAAGAAUAUUUGCGAUAAAUGAACGAUAACAAGCUUUUUUGAUGUGCUAGAAGAGAAGGAAUGUAUUCGUUGGAUGAAUGUAAUAUUUGGACUCGUUCGUACGUGGUCCAUAUUCAUUGAAGCUUAUUCGGGUUUAUUAGUUCUCUUUACUUUGUCUGAAUUUAAUUUCAAAUAAUAUUUUAAAUGGUAUUUAAUUAUAACUAGAUGAGUCUAAGAGUAGAGAGAUUCAUCAUUCAAAAGAAAUUUAAAAAAAUUUCUAUUGAGAGAUAUGAAAAAGCAGCGAAGCAAACAGCAUAUGAGAGCGUACCGUUUAGGAUAAAACGGAAUUAAUAAAAAAAUUUUUUUAAUAUAUAUUUUAUAGAAUGAGCUAAAAAAAUAAGAACAAUUUUCAUAGAAGAAAAAUGUUUCUAAGUGAAGAUAAGAAUAUUAAUUAUUUCACAUUUUAUUCAAAGUUAUCGCGUGAAUUGUUAGAAAGCGCGUUUCAUUCAAGUCGUCGAUAUUUGUGCAAUUUUCUUCUUUACUUCUUUACUAUAUAUAUCGAAACUUUCAAACCUACAUGUUCAGCGAAACUUACAAGCGAGGCAGGGAAAAAUCCUUGCACAAAAGGAUGCCUGGUUGUUAAACUGGAAGUGACAACGAUUUUUCUCGGAUAUGUCUUGUAUAAAGCGGAACAUGACCCCUUUUAGUUGGCGCGCGAGUCGGGCUAUUAAGGGAGAAUGAUCGAUGAUUUGCGCCAUCCAUUAUAUCCGGUGACCGGGAAUGUAACCCAGAGGCGUUAUUUGCACGAAUAACGCUUUUGAUGUUUUUUUUCAUCGUGUCGCAUCACGAAUGAGAGAAUUUCAGAAGUGGACGCGUAUUUUGCGAGGGUCGCUUAAUUUUCGACAAAAUAUGAGACUUGAGUCUUAGCAUUUUGUCUCUCUAUUUGACUGCCUCACAAAUGCUGCCCUUAUAAAUAUAAUGCCAGUUAUUUGCCAGAUAAUCCGUGAAGUAUUAAUUAAAUGAAAUAUAUCGUAAUGUCACCCGUGACCGUUUUUUAUGAGCAGUUUAAUAAUAGAAAAUGUAAUAAAAACGUAUGAUAUAAAAGCGUUUCAAACCCUUUAAUGUAUACAUAUACGAUCAUUAUUGUAUUCAGUUGUUAAAGAGCAAUAAUCGACGAACGGAACGCAACCGCGGUAUAACUCCCUUGAGAUUACUAUCCAUCAAAUUCGUACUCGAUAUAUUAAAGCGUUUAUGCAAUGUAUCGAAAACUUGCAAUUUGUAUCAAGGUAAUACAAAAUUAUUCUUUAUAUUCGAGAAUAACUAGUACAAAAUUUUUUACAAGUUGUUCCCUAAAGAGUUAAUCAACUGUUACAAAAAAAAUAUUACGCUUUACGAAAAAUGUCCGGAAAAUGAAAUGAGUGUAACCGCUUUGGCUCUCUAUAGAAGUUCUACGAAAAUCCGUGGAACGUUGUUUAUCCCUCGUAACGUAAACUCGACUUCUAAUAAUACAAAGUUAAUUCUAACAGGACGAUGCCUAUCGAUCGGGGCUGUUAUUACAGGAUAAUGAUGGACAUAAUGCCGGCGGUGUCUACAGGGUAUCCUCACACCGGAUUGGCAAGCGCAUAGGGUAGGGCGCAAAAUACACCCUGCGCCCGUCGAAGUGGUGGCGGAGGAUCAACGAGGAGUAAGAGGCAUGCUACUCGAGACGGUUGCUGCAAAUUUAUGACAAGGUGGCAAAAGUUUCGCAAACGACGCGGCGUGAUCCACGAUGCUGUCGCGCGUCGGCGUGCUUUCGGCGAGGGAUACGGCUUGGAAACUUGGUGCGAGAAAUUUGAUCUCAUCUCGCAACAUCGAUUCCAUCGAUCGCGUGGCGAUCGCGACCGGUUAGCCAAUGGAUACUAAAAGCACGACCGGUGAAGGAAGAGAGAAGGAAUGAGAGAGAGGGAGAGAGAGAGAGAGCUCGCCGGAGAAGUCAUUGGCAGCCUGAAUCGUCUUCGGCUCUCGAAGACUUUAGACUCGCUCCGUUAGAUAAUGCGGCCGCCGUCGUAUCGGCCAGACUACCCGGCCAAGUUCUUGUUCCUUCCGUAUAUACUCCGGCGCCGGCGAAAUUCCCAAAAUUACCGGCAUUACUGCGGACAAAGGCCGGAAAUCCCGAGUUCCGAUCCUGCAACGCGUAAGGACCGUCGCCCACACCGAGCACCGGCGGCGUCUCUUCAUUAAUUGUAUUAAUUGGUCCACCAAACCGCGAUAAAAAGUACUCUUAUAAUUCAACGUCAACAUUUAUGGCAAGGGAACAAAGGACGCGCUGGCUCGAGCUUCAACCGGAAAUCAAAUUACUGCUGGCUAAUUAGCGUCGGUGAAACUGGAACGUAUAGCGGAUAAUAAAACCAAGAUUGGACUCGCCAGGCAUGACGGGAGCGAUCGGCCAAACCCGGUAGAUAUGACUACACUCCAGUGGAUGUAUAAAAUGUUCAGGAGUCGCGGCAGCCAAUAGCAGCUCGCGUCUCGUAAUUAAUCACAGUGUCGUAACGGAACUCCAGUAUCGAAAAUCGUUUCGAGUCGUCCGAGCUACGAGUCAUGAAAUAUUUAAACCUCAAUGCUGAGCGACCACCGUGGAUAAUCGUAAUGCUAUUUUCAGCACGCCUGCCUGUAUCGCGGUAGCGGAAUAGUGUCGGGAUUGAUGUGUCGCGAAAUGAUGAGAAAUUUGCCGCGAAUUACCUAAAAGUCGUCUCAAUAAUAAACCGCCGGACCUUCUCGUAUGCACCGUCACGCGCGCGUAUACAUGCACUACUAGUGGUACACUAUAUGCCGCCACCGGCGUACGGCGGCGAAAUGGUAGUCUCUCAAGCCUGUAUCCAUCGCCAUUAAAUUAAUAACCGUGCUAUCCGCGUGUACCGAACUCCUCCGAAAUAUCGCCCGACGCCCUCCGGGCCCCGGUUCAUCCGCGCCCAGCGCGCCUUCUCCCGCGGCCCAUAUACAAUCCGCCAUGUAUCCCGCAUAUAUGGAUUUCGCGUGCACGCGCACGCACAGCCGAAUACGUGCGGGCGACGAGCGGAAUUCGGAAUGUGCGAGGGAUUGCGCGAAGAGAGGGAGAUAGAGAGAGAGAGAGAGAGAGAGAGAGAGAGAGAGAGAGAGAUAGAAAGAGAGAAGGACACAGAGAGCAAGAGAGUCGCGUGUCUCUCAUCAAAGGGAGAAUCACAAUGCCAGAGCGAGCCCGUAUCGUCAGACCGGCCAACACGAACGAUAACAAUCAGUGCGCUAAAAUGCAUCGGAAUUGAAUCUGGGGCGAUUCAUUUUCACACCGGGCCGGUCCAGGCCGAUCAACUCGUUCAGCGCCGUGAUGCUUUUUCGAUCAAAGAUCUGCUCUUCCAAGGAAUACCGAGUAAAACAGGUUACUACCAGCUGUAUCAGUCGCGCGGGGCGGUUUUCAUUUUUUUCAAGAAUUCUGAAAUAUUCCUUAAUAUUUGUACGGAAAUAAAAUAAAAUCGUUGAAUCGGCGAUUAAAAUCUGCGCAAGUUGAUUGUUUGAAGUGAGAACUUGAGAAAAGACACUUUUCCUGCAAAUUCGAGCUCUUCUCUUCUUAAUUAGUUCGCUAAUUCGAUCGAACGGCAGGUUGAUUAUCGACAGCUCGAUUUCGUACUAUUUAUUUCGCGGCUUCGUCAAUCUCCAUGCAUUAAUUAUUUCGAGAAUCAUCACCUGUCGCCGCGUGCGAGAAUGUCCAUCGCGCCGGUAGAGAUAUUUCCGUGCGUCAGCAUGAUGCGAAGCUUAUGUCGGUUCCAAUGCGUGGCAUUGAUAGGCCAGGCCAUUUUAAUUUCGAUCGCGCCGUAUCGACCAAUACGCGUCGCGGCAUAAUUCCGCAUGUCGUAAAAGUCCAAACGGGAUUCGAUCCGCCGUUAUUCACGACGAAGUGAUUUCGUCCUAGCUAACUCGCAACACGAACUUCCACUGUAAUUAAAUAUCCGCGUGUCCUUUGACUGCUUCAUUAGCGCAUUACUUGUUAUUCGUCGCGCUAGCGAUUGCACCUCGUAAAAGAGGCAAAUAGUAACCAGUCGGGGAAUAUAUCGACGGCAAAUCUCGUUGCCGACAUCGAGGUACAAUCGAAGAGUAUAAAAUUGAAUAGCGUGAUUUAAAAACGCGUCCGUCCAUUUGUGUGCGAAUUAAACAAAUUUUCACGUAAUUCGAAACGAAAUGUUUAACGUAUGAAGGAUAAAAUGAAAAGUAUAACGUUUCUAAUAACAAACAUUACGAAAAACAUAUUGAAUAAUGUAGUUUCGAAAAACGGCUAAUAAAAAUACGUGUGGAAGAGACAUUCUAACACACACACACACACACACACAAAAAUGUAUUAAUAUAUAACUAAUUUCGAAGAAUAAAGGCGAGAAUAUCGGUCGCAUAUUCCUCACUUAAUCUUUCAGAAUUUAAGCGCUAAUUUAAACUCUUGUCGAUAGGUCACUCGACCGCGCUGUAAGCCUUUGCUGAUGAACUACAUACCGUGUGC